CCCCAUUCCGAGUCCGGCGGACGAACUUCGCCCGCGCCCCCCACCAAGGCUAUAGCCCACCCGUUUUUUGGCAAUUUUUCCGCUGGGGGGUUUUGGCACCACGACCUUCGGGCGCUUAUUUUUGGGCGCGGCCUUGCCCGCGGCUUAUUUUUGGCACCCCGAGGCCCCUCGCAAAGUCUCGCCCCAUUCCGAGUCCGGCGGACGAACUUCGCCCGCGCCCCCCACCAAGGCUAUAGCCCACCCGUUUUUUGGCCAUUUUUCCGCUGGGGGGUUUUGGCACCACGACCUUCGGGCGCUUAUUUUUGGACGCGGCUGUGCCCGCGACUUCCCGCGGGCACCCCGAGGCCCCUCGCAAAGUCUCGCCCCAUUCCGAGUCCGGCGGACGAACUUCGCCCGCGCCCCCCACCAAGGGUAUAGCCCACCCGUUUUUUGGCCAUUUUUCCGCUGGGGGGUUUUGGCACCACGACCUUCGGGCGCUUAUUUUUGGGCGCGGCCUUGCCCGCGGUUUAUUUUUGGCACCCCGAGGCCCCUCGCAAAGUCUCGCCCCAUUCCGAGUCCGGCAGACGAACUUCGCCCGCGCCCCCCACCAAGGCUAUAGCCCACCCGUUUUUUGGCCAUUUUUCCGCUGGGGGGUUUUGGCACCACGACCUUCGGGCGCUUAUUUUUGGAUGCGGCUGUGCCCGUGACUUCCCGCGGGCACCCCGAGGCCCCUCGCAAAGUCUCGCCCCAUUCCGAGUCCGGCGGACGAACUUCGCCCGCGCCCCCCACCAAGGGUAUAGCCCACCCGUUUUUUGGCCAUUUUUCCGCUGGGGGGUUUUGGCACCACGACCUUCGGGCACUUAUUUUUGGGCGCGGCUAUGCCCGCGGCUUAUUUUUGGUGCCCCGAGGCCCCUCGCAAAGCCUCGUCCCAUUCCGAGUCCGGCGGACGAACUUCGCCCGCGCCCCCCACCAAGGCUAUAGCCUACCCGUUUUUUGGCCAUUUUUCCGCUGGGGGGUUUUGGCACCACGACCUUCGGGCACUUAUUUUUGGGCGCGGCUAUGCCCGCGGCUUAUUUUUGGUGCCCCGAGGCCCCUCGCAAAGACUCGCCCCAUUCCGAGUCCGGCGGACGAACUUCGCCCGCGCCCCCCACCAAGGCUAUAGCCCACCCGUUUUUUGGCCAUUUUUCCGCUGGGGGGUUUUGGCACCACGACCUUCGGGCGCUUAUUUUUGGACGCGGCUGUGCCCGCGACUUCCCGCGGGCACCCCGAGGCCCCUCGCAAAGUGUCACCCCAUUCCGAGUCCGGCGGACGAACUUCGCCCGCGCCCCCCACCAAGGCUAUAGCCCACCCGUUUUUUGGCCAUUUUUCCGCUGGGGGGUUUUGGCACCACGACCUUCGGGCGCUUAUUUUUGGGUGCGGCUUUGCCCGCGGCUUAUUUUUGUCGCUCCGAGGCCGCGCGCAAAGUCUCGCCCCAUUCCGAGUCCGGCGGACGAACUUCGCCCGCGCCCCCC
rnacentral:lncRNA from 1 species